GCCCCCGUAGCUCAGCUGGAUAGAGCGUCGGACUUCUAAUCCGUUGGUCGCAGGUUCGAGUCCUGCCGGGGGCG
rnacentral:tRNA from 5 species